CCCUUAGAUGUUCUGGGCUGCACGCGCGCUACACUGAAGCUAUCAACACGUUUUCCCUCCCUGAGAAGGGCGGGUAACCUUUUGAAUCAGCUUCGUGGUAGGGAUCGGGGCUUGCAAUUGUUCCCCGUGAACCAGGAAUUCCCAGUAGACGCGAGUCAUAAGCUCGCAUCGAUUAAGUCCCUGCCCUUUGUACACACCGCCCGUCGCUACUACCGAUUGAACGUUUUAGUGAGGCAUUUGGACCGACGCAUCUCAGUUUAACCGCUGGUUUGUGUUGGAAGGACUUCCAAACUUGAGCGUUUAGAGGAAGUAAAAGUCGUAACA
rnacentral:rRNA from 1 species